rfam:Oryza sativa Japonica Group DNA, chromosome 4, cultivar: Nipponbare, complete sequence.
CCUAAUUUCCGUACCUAACGUUUGACCGUUCGUCUUAUUUAAAAAAAUUAUGAAAAAAAAUAAAAAGACAAGUCACGCAUAAAAUAUUAAUCAUGUUUUAUCAUCUCACAACAAUAUAAUACGAAUUAUAAAAAAAAUUUAUAUAAAAUGGACAGUGAAAGUAGGACACGGAAACUCAGAGUUUGCCUUUUU